UUUCAGCUGAUGGAAUACGAUGGUGAUAAGCAGUUGUUUCUGGAUAGUUAAAAGUGUAAUGGUCAAGGGUCUCCAAGGCCUCCACAUGCAUGGCGUACUGUCUCGGAAGCUAAAACGAAAUAAUCAAAAAAUUCAAGGCAAUCAAAGAAUUUCAUGUUGUACGAGUUUACACAGACUCUGGUGUUGUCUAUCGUAUGUGUUGUCUGUAUUCGCCUGAAAUGUUACAUGAAAAUUUUAUUUGGGAAGCUGAAGAUUUAGUUCGGAUUAAGUGUAUUUAAAGCUAUGCUUCCUUCCAGUAUAUACAGUAUUCUAUAUAAAUCUCUUUUGUCGAAUGUUUACUCGUGUAUUUUCUCUGUAUGACAUUUUUUAUCUAAAUAAAUUACAUAUAAAGUAUGUAAAUACAUUCGUACUUAUACAUUACAUAAAUACACGUCUUGACAGGGAAAACAUAAAAUUAGAGUUCGAUAAAACAUAUAUAUCGAGUUCUAAUUUUAGGUUUUCCCUAUCAAGACGUGCAGUUUGAUAAUGCAUCUACAUCACUUAAUGUAUCUACAUCACUUUCAUCAUAUAAAGCA